rnacentral:rRNA from 1 species
UACAGAGGUCCCAAGCGUUGUUCGGAUUCACUGGGCGUAAAGGGUUCGUAGGCGGUCGGGUGAGUCUGAUGUGAAAUCUCACAGCUUAACUGUGAAACUGCAUUGGAUACUAUCCGGCUCGAGGAAUGGAGGGGAGACUGGAAUACUUGGUGUAGCAGUGAAAUGCGUAGAUAUCAAGUGGAACACCAGUGGCGAAGGCGAGUCUCUGGACAUUUCCUGACGCUGAGGCACGAAAGCCAGGGGAGCAAACGGG